AUGUUCGUGGUCAGCGAGCCAUUUGAGGACCCCCUGGUUGUGACGGUGGAGGAGAAGGUUGGCGCCGGGAGGGACGAGCCCAUCGGCCGUGUUAUCAUCCCCGUGGCGUCCCCGUACGUGUCGCGCAACGACCUGGUCAAGUCGGUGCCGUCAAAAUGGUUCACCCUAUGGCGCGUCAUGACGGUGGAUGCGGCAGCGGCGGACAUCACGACGGGGAUCAAGCACCGAGAGCACUCCAAGACGUUCGGACGCGGCUCGUCUGCCGUGCCUUCACGCACGGCAGAACUGCCGUACGGGCCACAAUCGGCCGUUCGUUCACUGCUUUCUCAUCCAACGGACCUCUGCUACCCCACCAACUUGCUUGUUUCACUAUACUCUGAAUCUGCUCGCGCCAAAAAUUGUAGCAGUGAGGAUGUAAGGUCAUCACCGCAUGGGUUAGAAAAGUAG
rnacentral:rRNA from 1 species